AGAACGAACGCUGGCGGCAUGCCUAAUACAUGCAAGUCGAACGAAGGCUUCGGCCUUAGUGGCGCACGGGUGCGUAACGCGUGGGAAUCUGCCCCUUGGUUCGGAAUAACAGUUGGAAACGACUGCUAAUACCGGAUGAUGACGAAAGUCCAAAGAUUUAUCGCCAAGGGAUGAGCCCGCGUAGGAUUAGCUAGUUGGUGGGUAAAGGCUACGACCAAGGCGACGAUCCGUUAGCUGGUCUGAGAGGAUGAUCAGCCACACGUGGGACUGGAGACGACGGACCCAGACUCCGUACGGGACGGCGAAGCCAAGGUAGG
rnacentral:rRNA from 1 species